UGCAUGGUUGUCGUCAGCUCGUGUCGUGAGAUGUUGGGUUAAGUCCCGCAACGAGCGCAACCCUUGUCUUUAGUUACCAUCAUUAAGUUGGGGGACUCUAGAGAGACUGCCGGUGAUAAACCGGAGGAAGGUGGGGAUGACGUCAAAUCAUCAUGCCCCUUAUGGCCUGGGCUACAAACGUAAUACAAUGGCGUAUACAAAGGGAUGCGAAAGGGCGACCUGGAGCAAAACUCACAAAGUACGUCUCAGUUCAGAUUUGGAGUCUGCAACUCGACUCCAUGAAGGCGGAAUCGCUAGUAAUCGCGGAUCAGCAUGCCGCGGUGAAUACGUUCUCGGGGUUU
rnacentral:rRNA from 1 species